rnacentral:rRNA from 1 species
UACGUAGGGCGCAAGCGUUAUCCGGAAUUAUUGGGCGUAAAGAGCUCGUAGGCGGUUUGUCGCGUCUGCCGUGAAAGUCCGGGGCUCAACUCCGGAUCUGCGGUGGGUACGGGCAGACUAGAGUGAUGUAGGGGAGACUGGAAUUCCUGGUGUAGCGGUGAAAUGCGCAGAUAUCAGGAGGAACACCGGUGGCGAAGGCGGGUCUCUGGGCCGGUACUGACGCUGAGGAGCGAAAGCGUGGGGAGCAAACAGG